rnacentral:ncRNA from 1 species
AAAAAAAUCUAUAUGAGAAAAUUUUAUAUAUAAAUAAAUUUUUAUGAUUUAAAAAAAUUUAAUUUAAAUUUAUUUUACAUGUAAAUUUUAGUGUUAAUUUUUAAUUAUUUUAAUAAUAAUUAUUAAUAUUUGCAGUAAUUAAAAUUAAAAAUUUAAGAAAUUAAGAUUUAGAAAUAUUUUGAUUAUUAACAAAUUUUGUGCCAGCAGUUGCGGUUACACAAAAAAUAAUUUAAAUUUUAUCGGUAUAUAAUAAAUAAGAAUUAUUAUUUAAAUUAAAUAUUAAAUUAUUAAGUGAAAUUUUAAUUUAAUUAAAAUUUAUAUUAAUUUUAUGAUUUAUUAAAUUUUAUAAAAAACUAGGAUUAGAUACCCUACUAUUAAAAAUUAAAUUUAUAAUACUAAAAUAGUAGAUAAUAAUUUAUUGAAACUUAAAUAAUUUGGCGGUAUUUUAGUUCAUUUAGAGGAAUCUGUUUAAUAAUUGAUAAUCCACGAAUAAAUUUACUUAAUUUAUUAUUUUGUAUAUCGUUGUUAAAAAAAUAUUUUUUAAUAAAAAUAAUAUUUAAAAAUUUUUAUAUAAAAUUAAUUCAGAUCAAGAUGCAGAUUAUAAUUAAGAAUAUAAUGGAUUACAAUAAAUAAAUUUAAAUGAAUAAUAUUUUUUAAUAAAUAUUUGAAGGUGGAUUUAAAUGUAAUUUUAAUUAAUUUAUUAAAAUGAUUAUAUAUUAAAAUAUGUACAUAUUGCCCGUCGCUUUCAUUAAUAAAUUGGAAUAAGUCGUAACAAAGUAGAGGUACUGGAAAGUGUUUCUAGAAAGAA